rnacentral:misc_RNA from 1 species
CGCCACCAAUGUAUUUAUUUAUUUAUUUAUUUAUUAUAAUGCGCCAACAAGGUAGACACUAACAAGUUCACUAUAAUCAUCAGCUCAUGAGCACAGGGCAGGCUUGCCAGAAAGUUUUGAUUCAAGUCGCCCCAUCUAUGAUCGAAAGUCGCAAAAUAUUCUUAGCAGUCGCCCAAUGAAAGUUUGAAUAUACACUAGGAUCUGUCUGUCAGUUUUUUAUGACAGUCUAUCAUAACAGACUCGAAAUUAAAAAUUAUUUAUUUAAAAUAUUAUUAACUUACAUGAUGUCCCAAGAUACAAAAGAUAAAAUAAAAGAUAGAGAUAAAAUAUAUUGACUCAAUUUCAAAAUUAAAGGAAGCUUAUUGGGACAUUAAAAAAAAAACAAUAUUUUUGUAACGGUUUUUGUAUUUUUAACUUGUUGCCAACGCUGAGGAUUA